CGGUGUCACUGGAGGCUGGACGAGUCACUCCCACCACUCCUCCUCCGCUCUCUGCUGUCACAAAGUUUCAUUCUUCAGAGCGCCGCCUUGUCAGCAGAAGCACUCUCUGUAAAAAUGAGGAUCUGUCAGACGUCAGUGGGGCAGAUGUCACGUGUGGAGAAGACAGUGGGGCAACGCUUUAUUCUUGUGUUGAGGUGACAGGGUCCGCGGGAGUCCUCAGGUCCAGCUCCAGGCUCUCAAGUGAUGGGAUUUCCGGAUCUUUUUAGAGAGCUGGCUCUUGCGGCUCCGACCGACUCUUCAGAGGCGAGGCUGCCAUAUCGCACCAUCGGCCAUCACUAGUAGGCGGUAGGUGAAGAGUCUUGACCACGGACACAGCGACGGAGAGUGUCUGAGCCGGGGCUCGGACCGACAACCUUCUGAUCACAAGGCGAACUGCCAACUCUUGAGCCACGAUCGCUCUAACUAGUGACGAUAAUAAUACUUAUGUGAUGUAACACAAGCUUAUAGGGAUCAUGUUAUAUACUUUUCCAUAGCAUUACAUUUGAAUUCAACAGUUCAAUCUUUCAAAUAACGGACAGAUAUUUGUGAAAUCAUGAUACAUUUGUGAAUGUAUUUUUACAAUCUAAAUAUGCAUAUGUACAAAAAAAUUUAUUUAAAAAACAAGUAAAUUGUGUUUUAUUACAUUUACAGUGAUGUUAUGUUAUUUUACAUUUGACAUGCCAGAUCACAGUCUACUUAUGUAAAUGUAAUGAUAUUCUAGAAAAACAGUACACAACUGUAAAAUACACUGUAAAAUAAUUUGACAUUUCUAUUUUUUGGAACAGUGCAGGUAACAAAAGCUCAAUGCUGGGCCUAGCAUUCUGGAGCACUUCUGUUGUGUUUUCUUCGUGUUUUGGAGUUUUUACGUGCUUCUGAGUUUUUAUGUGUUUUGGAGUUUGUACGUGCUUCAGGGUUUGUACGUAUUGUGAAGUUUGUACGUGCUUUGUCUGUAGGGGCCACCGUAAAUAUACUUUUAUUUAUUCACUCCACAUAAAAUGUAAUAAAUAAAUCAUAUAAAACGAAAACCAACUAGUCACAGUUCAACUUUUAACUAUUUAAAUUUUCAGCUUUUUUUUUUUAAAUGAAACAACACAAAAUGCUGCAAACCACAACACAAUUAAAUAUAAAUGAAAAUAUGAAAACAAAAAGAAGAUGCACAUUCUCAGUCAUAUGGGCCUGCAUGAAUAAACUUUCUGAAUCCUGUAUCAUCC
ensembl:lncRNA